rnacentral:rRNA from 1 species
UACAGAGGGGGCAAGCGUUAUUCGGAAUUAUUGGGCGUAAAGGGCUCGUAGGCGGUUUGUCACGUCGGGAGUGAAAACUCAGGGCUCAACCCUGAGCGUGCUUCCGAUACGGGCAGACUAGAGGUAUGCAGGGGAGAACGGAAUUCCUGGUGUAGCGGUGGAAUGCGCAGAUAUCAGGAGGAACACCGGUGGCGAAGGCGGUUCUCUGGGCAUUACCUGACGCUGAGGAGCGAAAGCAUGGGGAGCGAACAGG